AUUAGACGCAGCCAAUUUAGAGAGCAUUUGCGUGACCAAAAAGAAAAAGCCUCCGGAGAACGAGAGACUUUCAACAUUGAACAAAUAAUUAAACGGCAGUGGGUCUGGAAUUUCAGUUGCUGAUUCUUUCCUCAAUCCUAGUCUUCUCCAGUUUCUUCCAAUCGGGGAAUUUUACUUUUGUGUCCUUGGAAGUUGCUUCCAGCUCAAAAUGGGCAGACUGAGGUGGACAGGGGUUUCCCCAAAAUCUAUCAUGCGAAUUGCUGCGUCAUGGCGCACAGUUUCUGCAGAUUCGAUGAUUGAUAAAGGAAAUGUGCGUGCACAUGUUUCAGAAUAUCUACCCACGUUACUUCAAAGUCGCUGUAAGAGGCUUACCUUUUAACUG